AGGAUUAUAAUUUAAUUUAAAAUAUUUGAUUUGCAAUCAAAAAAUAUUGAUACAUCAAUUUAUCUUA
rnacentral:tRNA from 1 species